ACUUUCCUCUAAGUACCACCAAGAGGGCUCUCACGUACCACUGGUGGUACAUGUACCACAGUUUGAGAAUAUAGGAUGUAGACAUUUUAAUA